GGCCCGUUUGUCGAGCGGUUAUGACACUGCCUUAAUCGGCAGGCCGCGGGUUCGAAUCCCGCACAGGUCACCU
rnacentral:tRNA from 1 species